rnacentral:rRNA from 1 species
CCUACGGGAGACAGCAGUGAGGAAUAUUGGUCAAUGGGCGCGAGCCUGAACCAGCCAAGUAGCGUGAAGGAUGACUGCCCUAUGGGUUGUAAACUUCUUUUAUAUGGGAAUAAAACAGGGUAUGCAUACCCUCUUGUAUGUAACAUAUGAAUAAGGAUCGGCUAACGCCGUGCCAGCAGCCGCGGUAAUACGGAGGAUCCGAGCGUUAUCCGGAUUUAUUGGGUUUAAAGGGAGCGUAGGUGGAUUGUUAAGUCAGUUGUGAAAGUUUGCGGCUCAACCGUAAAAUUGCAGUUGAAACUGGCAGUCUUGAGUACAGUAGCGGUGGGCGGAAUUCGUGGUGUAGCGGUGAAAUGCUUCGAUAUCACGAAGAACUCCGAUUGCGAAGGCAGCUCACUGGACUGCAACUGACACUGAUGCUCGAAAGUGUGGGUAUCAAACAGGAUUAGCUACCCUUGUAGUC